rnacentral:rRNA from 1 species
GAUGAACGCUGGCGGCGUGCCUAAUACAUGCAAAUCGAGCGAACAGACGAGGAGCUUGCUCCUCUGACGUUAGCGGCGGACGGGUGAGUAACACGUGGAUAACCUACCUAUAAGACUGGGAUAACUUCGGGAAACCGGAGCUAAUACCGGAUAACAUGUUGAACCGCAUGGUUCAACAGUGAAAGACGGUUUUGCUGUCACUUAUAGAUGGAUCCGCGUCGCAUUAGCUAGUUGGUAAGGUAACGGCUUACCAAGGCAACGAUGCGUAGCCGACCUGAGAGGGUGAUCGGCCACACUGGAACUGAGACACGGUCCAGACUCCUACGGGAGGCAGCAGUAGGGAAUCUUCCGCAAUGGGCGAAAGCCUGACGGAGCAACGCCGCGUGAGUGAAGAAGGUCUUCGGAUCGUAAAACUCUGUUAUUAGGGAAGAACAAAUGUGUAAGUAACUAUGCACGUCUUGACGGUACCUAAUCAGAAAGCCACGGCUAACUACGUG